AACAUAUAAUGUCAAAUUAGUCAACUGAAGGCUUAUAGACACUACUAGUUUUUUGUCGAAAGCAAAGUAGCAAAAUUGUAGUUAUGAUUCAUUUGUAAAAGGAAAUUGAAAUUGUAUAUUACAAAAUUUGUAUUUUGGAACGUAUAAAACAGUUCAGAUACUCAAAAUAAGAACCCUUUUAUCUCUCGAUUUUUUACCCCCGCAUUUCUGCAAUUUGUUUUUGAGUGUUUGUUACUUAAAUGCUUUCGUUUUAAAACAAUUUUCGUGGUACUAAAUGUUAGACAAGCAUUACAGACAAUAUCUUUAUCCUAUCUUAUUUUUGUUGAAAACAAAGAAGUGAUGAGGUAAUUAUGAUUCACUACAAAAGGAAAUUUGAUAAUGUAAACACUUAAAUAAACAGGUGACAGAUAUAGGAAAAAGCCAAUUUGGCUUCAUAUAAAACUGGUUGUUUUUUUUUGUUAUGAAGGCGUGGUAUUCAACACCAUUGCCCUUGUAACAUAAUGGAUCUUACAAUGAAAUUUGAAAUCACCUCGGCUUCUAACAGCACCGAGGUCUCUUCUCUCUCUCGCUCUUCGACACCUGCAGUUCUGCAAUUUGUUUUUGGAGUGCUGGGUAACCUGAUUGCCAUUGUUGUACUUAUCACUGCUAGAAAGAAACACAAAUGGAGACCGUUUUACAGACUAGUUUUCGGUUUAACCUUAACUGAUGGUUUGGGGAUUUUGCUGAUUUUCCCAACAAUAUUUCUUCGAUUUGCUCCAAAUUUCAUGUUCGAUUUUCGUAUCUGUGCGUACAAGUCUUUCAUGUUCAUAUUCUUAUUAACAUCAUCUGCAAUGAUUGUCUGCGCAAUGUCUUUUGACCGUUUUAUGGCUAUUCUGUAUCCGUAUCGCUACAAUGGGAUUGUGAAGAUCAAUCAAGCAAAUAUCACGUUAGCAGUGGUAUGGAUUACCUGUGCCUUCCUUUCAAGUUUGCCACUGCUGGGCUUACGAUCAAGUUUGCUAUAUGAUACUGGUUCAGUUUGUUUUUUAAAUUUCAUCAGUACAUCAACCGUAGUUAGAAUUUACUCUUUCGUUUACUCGCUAAUAGGACUGUUUAUUCUCCUUUCAACAAUUAUCUUUAAUAUGUGUGUGGUAAUAUCACUUUGUAAAAAUAUCGUAACAACCAACACAGUUUCACAGAAAAGCAGGAAAAAAGGCAACACAUUCAAUGUUGUUUUUCUGCUGGUAAUAGUUUUGACCUUUGCGACAUGCUGGACUCCACUUAUGAUUGUUAUAUUUGGACAUGCAACGGCUUUGUUUUCUGAUGUUGGCACGUUAGAAUUGUUUGCCGUCCGUAUAGGAGUCACAAACUCUAUUAUCGAUCCCUGGAUCUAUAUCCUGUUUCGGAAAGAAAAUAUUUUUGCGAUCACCCGGAAACUCGGAACCUUCUGCGACAUAAGCAAGGUUACAAGCAACAGUGUUGAUAAUAACGUCACGCCACCGACAGAUGCACAGACGCAAAGCUAUGGCAACACGUCAGCCAGAACAGAACAUUCAAUUGAUAUUAUCAUUUAGACUUAAGUCAUGUGCAAGCAAUGCUUCCUAGUCUCAAAUCUGCGUUCUAUGGCAUUAUAAAGAAGCAGAACUGAUAUAAUUAUUAUUUCAUUUAUUUUUGAUAUUCUGAUUUCUUAUAAUAAGCUUUUGGACAACCAAAAUAAUUCUAAGAAAUAAUAAAGACAGACAAAAGUUACAAAACAGUUACAAAAUAUUGUGCAAUCGCUUUGUAGAUUUUAAGUGUCUGUCUUCAUGUAACAAUAACAAAAAUAGAAAGGACAACUGCAUUUAGCACCGGGUUUUGGGGGGGGGGGGUUUUCGGUCACUUCUGUUGUGGUUAUCUCUUAACCUAUUUCCACGUUUGUUUAUUUUGUAAAGAGUCUCGUCCAUUAACGUAACAUCAAUAAAGAUCUUAGACUGUGAUAUUAUAAACUUAUUCUAUUUUUCUCCUUAUAACUUUCUAAAUAAAGAGAUUUUUUUAUAUGCCUUUGAUUUAACAUACGAUAGAUAUUAAUAUGCAUGAGAGGUGGAGCUGACAUUAUCAUUAUUAUUAUCAGAAUGGAACUAAAAUUAGACUAGCAUGAACAUCAAUGUCAUGUAUUAAAACAUUAUUUGAUCACUCUUUUACCAUAGCCCUUUCUAUCCUUUAUGGCACAGAUAUGAUAUUUACUGAUGUAUCAACAAUAAAGAUCACGCCCAUAUAAGCCAGAAAACCUUUUAAAUCAAUGGUUGUCAACAAAACGUGUUACAAAACUUCGUGUUAGUUAGCUCAUACCAUGUAACCUUAUACGUCAUGUGAUGGAAUUAAGUAUUCACAAAGUCACCUGAGGUGAGAUAUCACGUGGUAAAUUACAAUUCUCAACAUCAUUUUACCCUUCGUUACAACACAGAAAGCGAAAGGAAAAGGAAGUAGUUUUUUCUCUUUUAAACCAUGAGCGCGUGUUCGUCAAUAAUUAAUUUCCCAUUGACACAACCUAGAUAAUGCAAAUAUACAACUACUGAUACAUGAAGAACAAAAGACAAACAUGUGCUGACUAUGUGUGAAAUCAGUAUAAAAGUGGGCGUCCUUAUUAUCGUAUGGAGAUUCCAGAUAUCGUAAAGACUCCCGCCUAUGAAAACAGAUUCGUACUUGAAAUUAUUAUCAGAGCAUCACAGUCCUUCCCACAUUUUACCUUGAAGAAGGCGGUGAAAUUGUAACGACAACACAAUUGCAACUUCAAAUACAUAACGCAUGUAAGCUUUGACCAAACAACAUCUAAAAAGCAAAUGUUGAAAAAACUUCGUAGUGUAGAUAGAAUGAAUCAAAACUCUAAAGUUUAUGUAUCAACUGCCUCAAACGCUUUUAAAGACACUGCAAAGUAAGUAUCAACUAUCCCACCAGUUCUGAAGGUUUUUUUUAAAGUAAUAUGUAAUCUAGUUGCAGUUAUUGUACUUAUUUCUUC